CACCGACUCCCACUCACAUUGUUUUAAUCUACAAUUGACGUCAUUAAGGAACUGAGUGGGAGAUCGGCUUGCAACCCGGCAAGGUUUCUAAAGAUACGUACUGUUAUGGACGUGAGCUAUCACCUGCACAUUCUCUGCUGGAUGUCAGUAAAAUGUUCCGGGACCGACACAUGCUACUGACUGAACUGACUCGACGUGUCCGCCUCUCCAUCCCUGUGCUCUGACUGCUCUGUGCUCUAACUGCCACUCUUCCGUGAGAUUUCACAGGAUCAAACUUUGCAACUUUACUUCUCACUUGCC